GGACGAACGCUGGCGGCGUGCCUAACACAUGCAAGUCGAGCGAGGAGAUCCUCGGGAUGAUCCUAGCGGCGGACGGGUGAGUAACACGUGGGCAACCUGCCUCAUAGAGAGGAAUAGCCUUCCGAAAGGGAGAUUAAUACCUCAUAACAUUGCAGUUUCGCAUGGAACAGCAAUUAAAGGAGCAAUCCACUAUGAGAUGGGCCCGCGGCGCAUUAGCUAGUUGGUGAGGUAACGGCUCACCAAGGCGACGAUGCGUAGCCGACCUGAGAGGGUGAUCGGCCACAUUGGGACUGAGACACGGCCCAGACUCCUACGGGAGGCAGCAGUGGGGAAUAUUGCACAAUGGGGGAAACCCUGAUGCAAGCAACGCCGCGUGAGUGAUGACGGCCUUCGGGUUGUAAAGCUCUGUCUUCAGGGACGAUAAUGACGGUACCUGAGGAGGAAGCCACGGCUAACUACGUGCCAGCCGCAGC
rnacentral:rRNA from 1 species